AGGAUGAACGCUGGCGGCGUGCCUAAUACAUGCAAGUCGAGCGAAUUGAUUAAGAGCUUGCUCUUAAUCAAUUAGCGGCGGACGGGUGAGUAACACGUGGGUAACCUGCCUAUAAGACUGGGAUAACUCCGGGAAACCGGGGCUAAUACCGGAUAACAUUUUGCACCGCAUGGUGCGAAAUUGAAAGGCGGCUUCGGCUGUCACUUAUAGAUGGACCUGCGUCGCAUUAGCUAGUUGGUGAGGUAACGGCUCACCAAGGCGACGAUGCGUAGCCGACCUGAGAGGGUGAUCGGCCACACUGGGACUGAGACACGGCCCAGACUCCUACGGGAGGCAGCAGUAGGGAAUCUUCCGCAAUGGACGAAAGUCUGACGGAGCAACGCCGCGUGAACGAUGAAGGCUUUCGGGUCGUAAAGUUCUGUUGUUAGGGAAGAACAAGUGCUAGUUGAAUAAGCUGGCACCUUGACGGUACCUAACCAGA
rnacentral:rRNA from 1 species